rnacentral:rRNA from 1 species
AGUGAACGCUGGCGGCAGGCCUAACACAUGCAAGUCGAACGGCAGCACAGUAAGAGCUUGCUCUUACGGGUGGCGAGUGGCGGACGGGUGAGGAAUACAUCGGAAUCUACUUUUUCGGGGGGGAUAACGUAGGGAAACUUACGCUAAUACCGCAUACGACCUACGGGUGAAAGCAGGGGAUCUUCGCACCUUGCGCGAUUGAACGAGCCGAUGUCGGAUUAGCUAGUUGGCGGGGUACAGGCCCACCAAGGCGAGGAUCCGUAGCCAGUCGGAGAGGAUGGUCAGCCGCACUGGGAGUGAGACAGGGCCCAGAGGCCUAGGGGAGCGGGCAGUGGGGAUUCGGGGGGAAGGGGGGGAGGCCGGAGCAAGCCGGACGGCGUGGUGGAAGAGGGCCUUCGGGUGGGAAAGCCCUUUUGUGGGGAAGGAAAAGCAGCAGGUUAGUACCCAGGUGUGCUGACGGUACCUAAGGAAAAAGCCCCGGCCAACUUCGUG